CUCAAUCCUACUUCCAUCGUCAUCUUUUUCAAUCCUACUUCCAUCGUCAUCUUCUUCAAUCUUCCAGGUUCUCGAAUAUUUGGUUUACACUGUGUUCUCGAAUCUGUCUGUUUACACUGUCUUCUCGAUUCGUUCUGCUUACACUGUGUUCUCGAAUCCAUCUUCCUUCAACCUUCAAUCCAUCUUCCAGGUUUUGCUUCAAUGGAUUAAAAUUUGUUAUGUUGGUUUUUGGAGGAAUAAAUUGAGUGAUGAAAUUCGGGCACUCAGAAGGUCUGAUGAAACGAGGGUGAUGGAUUUCUCCG